UUUCAAAUACAAAUCAUUAUUUCUGACCUUGUCAAUGUCUUGACUAUAUUUUCUGUUCAUUUUACAACACAUGGUGGUAAAUAAAUGUGACUUUUCAUGGAAAACACAAAAUUGUCUGGGUAACCCCAAACUUUUGAACGGUAGUGUAUAAUCAUAUAUUUGUUGUUUCCUCUCAUAAUUUUGCUCCUGUAAAUUUUUACUCCUGGUAUAAGAAUGUCUGUCAGAAUGUGGUACUGGUAUUUUCAAAGUAGAGGACAAACUGUCAGAAUUCAGCGUCGCUGACGCAGAAAAAGAGCUGAACCCCGAUGCAGAUGUGACCUGUCGUCUCUUUCCCUGCACUUGCCUCUUCCUCUUCCGCUUCCUUCCUGUGGCCACCGUGAUUGUGUGACGUGGUCGUUGUGGGCGUAUGAUCCUCUUCGCUCAGAGCGCGACCGGCUGCCGGGCCGUGGGGAUGUGUCGCCCUACUGGUAGUUUUUCCUGGAGAUGCUCACCUGCCCUUUCGGUGUCGUGGGCUCCCUGUGGCCGUCAAUCCCUGGUGGUGGUGUGUUCUUCACGAUCCCCCCCCUUUUUUUGGUUUUGUGUGUGCGUGAGUGUGUAGUUUCAUGGGUGAUUCUUUUGAGGACCUCCCUCCUCCUUGUCUUGUGGUUGUCCUGCUGCAUGGUAGCCCCGGCCCGCUUCAUUUGCCCCUUGGUUUAUUUUAUUGUGUGUUUAAUUGGUGUGACUGUUUUUGAAUUGUAUUUUGUUUAUUUCAUUUGUUAAUAAAUUGUUUUUGUUGUGGAACCGUCUCGCCCUGUGGUACUGAAUCUGCGUGGCUUUGGUCUAAAUAACCAACACAGUCGAGCUCAGAUUUCCUGGGGUGCAAUUCCCCAGGUGGCGUUGUCGCAACCACGAUUUUUAUGCUCCAUAGUGUACACCUCGCCACACAGAGUCAAAGGAGCAGGCAGGCAGGCAGGCAGGCGGAGGUCCAAGCAAAAGUCUUUCAUUAAUAACAAAAAAACCAACUCAAAAAGCACACUCUUACCGUGGCAGAAGAACUACAAAAAACUGCGGCUAAAUCUCCUGGCAAAAAGCAUGGCAAAGCAAAACAAGGCAUAGCAAAGGAUUCCUGGCAUGGCAUGGAAAAUAAAACACAGACACUCUGACAAAGGUGACUGG